GAGUUUGAUUCUGGCUCAGAACGAACGCUGGCGGUGCGUUUUAAGCAUGCAAGUCGAACGGUAAAAAGAGAGCUUGCUCUCUUUGAGAGUGGCGGACUGGUGAGUAACGCGUGGAUGAUCUACCUUUGAGAUGGGGAUAGCUUCUAGAAAUAGGAGAUAAUACCGAAUAACCUUGUUGUGUUUUGAUGUAACAAGAAAAGGAGCGUCAGCUCCGCUCGAAGAUGAGUCUGCGUCCCAUUAGCUAGUUGGUAGGGUAAAGGCUUACCAAGGCGACGAUGGGUAUCCGGCCUGAGAGGGUGAACGGACACAUUGGGACUGAGAUACGGCCCAAACUCCUACGGGAGGCAGCAGCUGAGAAUCUUCCGCAAUGGACGAAAGUCUGACGGAGCGACACCGCGUGAACGAUGAAGGCCGGAAGGUUGUAAAGUUCUUUUGCAGACAAAGAAUAAGGAUAGAAGGAAAUGACUAUCUGAUGACGG
rnacentral:rRNA from 1 species